AAAAAUAACGUAGGGUCGAAUGGAAUGUGACUUUAUAUCGGUCUCCCGAAAAUAGAACGACAUGGCUCUAUUUAAGAUGAACCCGGCAAAAAAGAAGUCGUACUUAAAUGUUUAUAUUGAGUCGAUCUUUAGUUAGUAGUUUACCUUCACCGCGAUGAGCGAGCACGUGUUGGAUUUUUACAGAAUGUUAUACAAUGUGUAUGUGCAGGCGCUGCUUGUCAGUGUUGUACUAUAUUGGUUUUUACCGUGGCUCAUCAAGUCUUUGUGGUAUAUUUACAUCACGUAUGGCUGUGAUUCAGAAGGCACCACUAAGCCCUUACCCCCGGGCACAUUGGGAUAUCCAAUUAUUGGGGAAACAGUCGAAUUUGUACGGAAGCUAUUCCAAAUAAGCGUUCCACUGGAGAAAGCUGGGACUGUGAUACUGGGACUGUGAUACUGUUUGGCAAUCUUAGCUAAAAAUGCAGACUUCUACACAGAGAGGCGCAAGAAGUAUGGCGAUGUGUACAUGACACACACAUUAGGGAGGCCCACCAUAAGGGUAUCCGGCGCACAGAACCUGCGCGUGAUUCUGACAGGGGAGAAUACUCUGGUUAGCACGAACUGGCCGUCGUCGGUGAAAAAGGUGCUCGGCGAGGGAUCGCUAGCAAUGGCGGAAGGCAACACGCAUGCGUUCAGAAAGAAACUUAUCAUCAAAGCUUUCACCCAUGAAGCUAUGGAGAAUUACAUACCGUCCAUACUGGACAUUACACGUACCUAUAUUGAUAAAUGGCUGUCGACGAAAGAGAUAUCUGGCUACAAUGAGUGCAAAGAACUGGCGUUUGCUCUAGCGGGAAAAAUAUUAAUGGGGUCGGACUUUGAUCAGGAAUAUGUCUCCUUUCUCUCCACUACGUUUGAAACAAUGAUACAUAAUAUGUUCUCGCUUCCCCUGUUAAUUCCAGGGCUGGGCCUGUGGAAAGCAAUGAAAGCAAGAGAAACCAUACACGCGGAGAUAUCAAAGUGUAUCGACAAGAUAAAGAAGGAGGGGAGUGAGCAGGCCUUUAGGAGCACCAUCCACCACAUCCUAGAUCAGCAGGACUCCGGACAGUACGAGAGGCGCGAGCUGAUGGACGCCGUGCAGGAACUUUUCUUCACCGGACACGACACGAGCGCCAGUAGUAUGGCCAGCAUCCUCAUGUUCCUAGGCAGGCAGCCGGAAGUCUUACAGCGCGUGCGCGAGGAAUUGGAUGCGGAGGGUCUUUUGGAUUGCCCGGAUGAAGAGUUGGACUUGUCACUGAAUAAAAUUUGUAAACUGAAGUAUUUGUACUCUGUCGUACGAGAGGUGCUACGGGUGGCGUCACCAGUUGGAGCUGGGUAUCGCAAGGCAUUACGGACAUUUGAAGUUGGGGAUUAUCGGAUUCCAAAAGGAUGGACAGUGGCCGUAGGAUUCCGGGACACGCACAUGUCCUCUCCUGUAUACAAGGACCCCGAGGCCUUCGACCCCUCACGCUGGGAUUCCCUUCCUAACCUAGAGAAACAAGAGGGGGACUGUAGCAUAGACCGCAUGAAUUACACACCGUUUGGCGCGGGGGUCAGGUUUUGUGUCGGGAAAGAGUAUGCGAAACUUAUAAUUAGGAUAUUUCUGAUUGAACUAGCUCGAAAAUGUGACUGGAAGUUGCUAAAUCCUUAUCCUAAAAUUUUGUACAUUCCCGUUCCAAGAGCAGAGGACAGGUUACCAAUGACGAUAUGUAAACGUUGAUGUCAGACGGGGAGACCAGAGAAAGCCCUGGUCAGCAGACAGAUAUCAUUAAAUAGAGGAUCCGUGUUCGACACUGUUGACGAUCAUGUUCGAAUUGCGAAACCGUUUCAAAUAAACCGUUGAAAUUCUGGGGAAGAUCCGAGGCUUACAACUGGGAAAAGAGUAACAAGAAUUUUUUAAUAUGUUCCGAGUGAAUUGUGCAAUUUUACGAUCAAUAGAAUUGCGUCUUAAGCAAUUAAUUAAAUUCGAUUAUUGUAUGGCGAUGACUGUCCGUAGAUGACAAUGAGAAGCGCAAUGAAAGUUUAAAUGUGUUCUUACGUUUAUGACUGAUAUGGCAACAGAUUAUUGUGACUGUUAUCUAUUACACUACAUAUUAGAGGCUGUAUUACUGUAUUAUAGAAUCGUAAUUUUGUAUCAAAUCCCGAUGGUUAUUUUUACAUUAGCCUCUAUGAGGUAGCUGUCUCUGGUCGUGUAUAGAACGCCGGAGACGAUAAAUUGUGACUGUGAUAUAUAUUACAUACGGGUAUUUCGUGUUUACCGAUCGUUAGGCAUACGAGACGAACUACUAUCACUAUUGUGUGUAUUAUAUAUGUAUAUAUUUAUGUUACAGAGCGGAAAACCAUUUUUGAAAUAUUUGGAUAAUGUUUAUAUUUGUUUAUCAUGCAAUAUUAUUUCCGGUGUCACUAAUUUAUUUGUAUUUGAAUAAAACUUAUAAUAUGUUGU
rnacentral:misc_RNA from 1 species